ACUCCGUAAACAUGAUUUGACGCUCUCUGGCCGACAGCUGACUAACUAACUAGCUCCUAACCAGCUAAAUGGCUUACGAUUUCUGAUAAACUACCGCUUAACGCCUGUCUCAGCUGGCUGUGUCGCGGGUACUGGGAUGGAUGUGGCUGGUGGCUGUGAUGGCUCUGUGGAGGCGCAUGUACUGAAAGAUGCAGCACUCUCAUUAUCAGGCUCAAGCGUCCUGAGGUAGGCGGAAGCGGAGCUUGUCCCUGAUCGAAUGAUGUAGAAAGAAACCCUCAAUAUUUUUAGCAUAUCGUACACAUUUUCUUCCGCCAUUGCAGCCGGUUUCGGCCUUCGACAAGCGGUGGCUGUCCGAUGCCUUUUUUUUUUUUUGGGACACUCGUCUGCGGACCACCACAAUUGGAUGAUGCUACGGUAACUUUGUGGAUACUCUUUUUUUCCCAGUUCAGCCCUCAGGCAGAAGAGGAGUGGCAGAGGAGCGGGAAGCGAGGCCAUGACCUACGGCGUACCUGAUCACAGCGAACACUGGCAUCACAAGGCGCUGUAGGGC
rnacentral:sRNA from 1 species